UAAGACGAAGGUGGCAAGCGUUGUUCGGUAUUACUGGGUUUAAAGAGUGUGUAGGCGGAAAGGUAAGCGUCCUGUGAAAGCCCCCGGCUUAACCGGGGAAUUGCGAGACGAACUGUCUUUCUUGAGCCAAGUAGGGGUGCACGGAACUGUUGGUGGAGCGGUGGAAUGCGUAGAUAUCAACAGGAACGCCGGUGGAGAAAUCGGUGCACUGGGCUUGUUCUGACGCUGAGACACGAAAGCGUGGGGAACAAACGGGAUUAGAUACCCCGGUAGUCCACGCCGUAAACGAUGUCUACUAGGUUGUGGAAGUUCUGACGCUGCCACGGCCGAAGCAAAAGUGUUAAGUAGACCGCCUGGGGAGUACGGCCGCAAGGCUA
rnacentral:rRNA from 1 species